UACGUAGGGUGCAAGCGUUAAUCGGAAUUACUGGGCGUAAAGCGUGCGCAGGCGGCUUUGCAAGACAGAUGUGAAAUCCCCGGGCUCAACCUGGGAACUGCAUUUGUGACUGCAUGGCUAGAGUACGGUAGGGGGGGAUGGAAUUCCGCGUGUAGCAGUGAAAUGCGUAGAUAUGCGGAGGAACACCGAUGGCGAAGGCAGCCCCCUGGGCUAACACUGACGCUCAGGCACGAAAGCGUGGGGAGCAAACAGG
rnacentral:rRNA from 1 species